GGUUUGGGGUUACCAGGGGCACGGGGGUACCCUUGGCUCACUGCUGUGACCCUCACUCAUAAACAGAACAUUCUGAGCGAUUUCCUAGCGGCACAGGAGCGGGCCACGUGGGGCCAGCAUGUGACCCGGAGCGGAUGGACCCCGCCCAGGAAGACAGGACACAGGCCCGAGGGAGACGCUUUCCAAGAAAACCCCUCUGAGGGCAGCAGGGGCCUGGGGUCAGGAGUCUGGAGCGAGAGUGGCCAACGCCCAAUCUCUGCACUCGUGCCCGAUGGGACAGCAGCCCGCAGCCAGGAGGACACGAGGGAGAGAAACCAGUGGAGCCCCCUUGGCCGCCCUCCGCGCCCCACACUGGCCGCGCAGGCAAGUCUGCGGCGUGACCGCCCGUGUGGAGAUGACAGCCAGAGGAGCGCAGACAGGAGAGGCGUCCGGUCCGUUGGGAAACGUGCGGCUGGACCUCUGGCUUGCGGGUUUGAGCCUCGUGGUGGAUGUGGAGAUGACUUCAGAUCUUCUUUAAAAAGGAAGAAAACCCUGGGAAGAAAGGCGCCUCCCCAAGUGACUUCAGCUGCUGGAAACCUCAGGUUCGCACUCAAAUUCCCCUUCCUCAGAUUCCCAAAGCCCAAGCGCCCCGGUCCCUUCUUCCACGUCUGCCAGGGGUGGGCUCGCGUGAGGAGGCAUCCGGCCCGGCUGGCCAUGGGAGGCCCGAGCAGCAGCUCGCCAGGAGCGGAACCGGGCUGCCCGCCGAGGAGACCGUGUGAGGAGACCCCGUUCCCGUCCGGGGUGACUUCUGGCCACACUUGUAUGUCCCCCGCAGGCCUCCCCCACACGCUGGCCACCUCCCAGGGUAUGUUUCUGGCCUGGACCUACCCUGACCCUCCUCUGCUCAGUGCCCCGACCCUGGGAAGCUUCACAGACACCUCGGCCUCCUGCUGCCCAAACCCAGCCUCACAGGCGUUCUCUGAGCCCCUUUCUGUCUCCCUGCGACCCCGCACUCACGGCGCAGAUCCCUGGGGCAGAGGCUGGGCUUUCACUCCGCUCACGGGCACCCCUCUGCCUGUCCAGCAGCUCACCACAGCCCUCGGAAAAAUGCUGGUCGAGACCCGCUCCACCUGCCGGCUCCCAGCUUCACUUGAGCGCCAAGGUCCUCCUGUGUCCUGUCCACUGUUCCUCAUGGCUCAGCCACAGCCGUGCCCCAGGGCCUUGGCACUUGCUUUUCUCUCUAGGUAUCUGCAAGGCUCACUGCUAUGA
rnacentral:lncRNA from 1 species